rnacentral:rRNA from 1 species
UACGUAGGGUGCAAGCGUUGUCCGGAAUUAUUGGGCGUAAAGAGCUCGUAGGCGGUUUGUCGCGUCUGCUGUGAAAACUCGGGGCUUAACUCCGGGCCUGCAGUGGGUACGGGCAGACUAGAGUGCGGUAGGGGAGACUGGAAUUCCUGGUGUAGCGGUGAAAUGCGCAGAUAUCAGGAGGAACACCCGUGGCGAAGGCGGCUCUCUGGAACGCAACUGACGCUGAGACGCGAAAGCGUGGGGAGCAAACAGG